AACAAUUCAUGCAGCCAGUCUUUACUGAACAUGUACGUGCCUAGGAAGUCUCAGGAAUGGGUAAGUGCUCCUGCUCCCACACAGUCUACAGACCUGGGUGCAAUGGUGAGAAAGACCUCAGUAAAGCAAAGGAAUUACGAAAGGGAGAGGAUAGAAGAUAAAGUACAUAAUAGUUUCCUGAAGCAGCAGAAUGAAAGAACUCUCUGUGGCAUGAAAAUUUACUGCUAAAGUCAAGCCUUUGGCCUCAUCCUAUUCUGACAUCACAGGGAGGCAGCAGCUGAGGCUGUGGUGGGAGAAGAAUGACAAGAACUGAGCGUGGGCCACGGGCUCUUAC
rnacentral:lncRNA from 1 species